CAGCAGCCGCGGGAAUACGGAGGGUGCAAGCGUUAAUCGGAAUUACUGGGCGUAAAGCGCACGCAGGCGGUUUGUUAAGUCAGAUGUGAAAUCCCCGAGCUUAACUUGGGAACUGCAUUUGAAACUGGCAAGCUAGAGUCUUGUAGAGGGGGGUAGAAUUCCAGGUGUAGCGGUGAAAUGCGUAGAGAUCUGGAGGAAUACCGGUGGCGAAGGCGGCCCCCUGGACAAAGACUGACGCUCAGGUGCGAAAGCGUGGGGAGCAAACAGGAUUAGAUACCCGAGUAGUCCCUGUCUCUUAUAC
rnacentral:rRNA from 1 species